GCCCAGGAGUCAGGGAGGUCCGGUAGCUCGGAUGCGCGCUAAGCGCGGCUGCCAUUUUGGAGUCGGGCAGCUGCGACGGCGGCCGUGUCUGGACCGGGGGGAAAGGAGGAGCCAGUCAGUGCCUUGGCUCAGAACAGGUGCUCACAAAUGAGUGGUAAAUGAAUUGGUGAAUCCCUUAAUACCUGAAUCAGACCACCACAAAAGCAUCUCCAGCCGAAAUCUUGAUGGAAAAGCACCCAGCUGCCCAGCCCAGGAAACCACAGUAGUAAAACACUGAGAAGCCAAGCUCCUCUCCCAGCUGACAUGAAUUAAUACCAGGUGUAUUGGCACACAGUCUUGGAGCUCCACUCAUCAAGAUGAGACCUUCUGUCCCUUCUUUUUGGCAAGUUAAAAUUUUAAAUGAAUGGAAAGAGGAAAUGUAAAGGAAGACCUUUGCCACCGCUUCUGAAUGAAGUUCUUUUAUUUCCAUCUCUCUAAAAUGAUCUCUCCUUGUCUAUGAUUUAUUGUGUAAAUCUUUUUCAGCUCUAUCCUUGAUCUGCCGGUUCUUGAUCAAUGUCUGUUGAGGAUAUAUUAGCAUGGGAGUACCAAGCUCCAGGAAGACUGUAUCUACUUUCAAGAAAUUUAUGAUAAUUCAAAAAGUAUAGUCAGGCUUGACAAGAUGUCUUCCUAUUAUUGAGUACCUACUCAAUACCAUGCUCAGCAUUUUCAUAUAUGCUGUCUGACUUAGUCCACACCACCCUGCAAGAUAGGUUUUUUAUUACCUUCCUUUUCUUCAAGAUCUCAAAGACAGUAAAUGACAGAAUUGAGAUUCUAUAUGCAAAACACAGAUUUGGUGAUUGUAUACUCAUGGUGAAUGUGUCCACAUUGGCAGAUGAAUAUAGGUAUCAGAUUUUACCCCUUUCUAUCAAAUUUUAAAAGUUUUUUUAGUACAAAGCAGAUUUUAAACUGAAAGGACAAUUCAGAAGUAUUGCUGAGGGAAUGAUGCCAAAUGAGGAAGCCAAAUUGGCUAGAAGCCUAAAAUCAAUCAAUAAGGAGCAAUUUCUUGUUCAGCUAUGAGUCAUAUUAUAUUCUUCAAGUACCUUUAUUGUCUCAGUGACACCAAAUGCAGAAACCAACCCAGGUGGUAUAAGGGUGAACUGAGAAUGGAGAGGAAUGGUUUGGGGAGGGAAUAAGUUUUUGAAUGGAGAACACCCAAAUGGCUCAUAAACUGGCACAUCUAGCACUGGCUUUUUGGAACAAUUGAAACCAUAGCAGUUUCCCUUGCUGCCUGCCAAUCACUUGUUUUUAAAUGAUGUGUGUAGAACAAUUUCCUAUUCUUUUUCCCAAAAUACUUGAUUACAAUUUUUGAAGACUAGCACAUACUAUGUUGUAUAAGGCAGUUCAUUUCUACUAUUUUUAGUGGGUUUUUAAGGGAUGUAAGAUUCAAUAAAAUGCACACAUUUGAAUUGUAUAGUUUGAUCUGUUUUGAGACAUGUAUAUCCUUGUAACCACUGUCAUAAUCAUGAAAUAGAACAUUUUCAUCACUUCAAAAAAGGUCCCAUGUGUCCUUUUUGCUGUAGGAAUUUUAAUAUGACUUGUUAACUUGAUGACUGCAAAGAUCUAGAUCUCCAGCUUUAACCUUGCUUUCAAAGUCCAGGCCCAUAUUUUUAGCUACUUACUUGACAUACCUACCUGAUGUUACAGACAGGUACUUCAAACCAAA